rnacentral:tRNA from 1 species
GUGCCCGUAGCUCAGUUGGAUUAGAGCGUCUGACUACGGAUCAGAAGGUCGCAGGUUCGAGUCCUGCCGGGCACGCCA